rnacentral:misc_RNA from 1 species
GAAAUGCGAUAAGUAAUGUGAAUUGCAGAAUUCAGUGAAUCAUCGAAUCUUUGAACGCAUAUUGCGCUCCUUGGUAUUCCUUGGAGCAUGCCUGUUUGAGUAUCAUGAAAUCUUCAAAGUAAAUCUUUUGUUAACUCAAUUGGUUUCUACUUUGGUAUUGGAGGUCUUUGCAGCUUCACACCUGCUCCUCUUUGUUCAUUAGCUGGAUCUCAGUGUUAUGCUUGGUUCCACUCGGCGUGAUAAGUUAUCUAUCGCUGAGGUCACUGUAAAAGGUGGCCAAGGUAAAUGCAGAUGAACCGCUUCUAAUAGUCCAUUGACUUGGACAAUACUUUUAUGAUCUGAUCUCAAAUCAGGUAGGACUACCCGCUGAACUUAAGC